ensembl:lncRNA
AUGACAGGGUCAAAUAGAGUUUUAGCAUUCCAAGAAGCAAGAUGGAACUACCUCCUGGUUGUAGAACAUUUUGUCUCAAUGUCACAUAUAUUGAUGCAUAUAGUUCAAUCAUGUGCCAGGAAUUUGUUUCAAGACUAUUCUCUCUAUUACCUUUCACAUAAAGAAAACACUACAGUCCCUUGAGAAAGUUGCUUCUUUAUUAGGAUAAGUUUCAUAUCUGAUCAUUUUGUACAAUGUGGAGUUAAAAAACAAGACCAAAUAUGAAGUGAUUUUUUUUUUUUGGUGGUAAAGUAUUUAAAAUUUCAUUAGGAGUUCUUGACACAGAACUGAAAUUAAAAUUCAAGUGUAUAUACACAUAGAACAUUCCAUAGCUCAAAGACUAGAUCUCCUAUUUUUUCUAUUCUGUAAUGCAUUGCUGUUGAUUCUUUGGUAAAUAAUAACAGUACUGAUAGAUACUUUUGUUAAAAUAAAGGAAAAAUAUUAAGAAGCUUGGACUUGUUAAUUUAAACUGACAAAACAGAUUACCAGGAGAGAAGGCAAACAAAUUUUGUUUGAUGUUAAUAUUCUAAUUUUGGUGUGCAUAGAGGUCUUCAUAGAAAGAAAUAAUGUUCAAAAAAGUGGUUGAAACUGAAGGGAUUAUAUAACAUCUUAAAAUUAUGGAGAAAUGAUAAAGGAAAAUAAAUUUGGACUUUUAUAGGCAGUAAAUUGUUGGAUGGUAAAUAUAUAGCAGAAAUUAAUGGAAGACAAGGCUAUUUAAUAGAUUUUGUUUAUGCAAAUUUUUCUUGGUGCUGUUUCCAUCUCUGGUAAUAAAAGCUGUUCUUCCUUUCCUAGUGUGAGAGAAGGGGACACCUUCCCAAAGGAAAUGUAUACCUAGGUUUUGGGAAGGGGACACCUUCCCAAAGGAAAUGUAUACCUAGAUUAGGGAAGUAGGGGAAGGGCAGAGUGUUUUUCUGUCUGCCUUUUCUUAAUUGCCUUCAGCUCAAAAUAAUCGUGAUGCCAAAAUUAUAUAUAUUGGAGUGGCAUAUUCUGAUUAUUUACAGCAUCAUCUCAGUUAAUCUUCAUAUAACAAUUAUUAUUAUAAACUAAAUGCUACAGAUGAGAAAAUUGAUGCUUAAAGAGGUUAGGGAGCAGGAUCUCCAUAAUAAUGGAAGAAAGUCUCACUAUGAAAACAGUUUAACUACUGAAAAGUAUAAAAAGCAUUCAUUUAAAUAUCUGGAAAUUGUUUUACAAACAUACAAAAAAAUGUAGAAAUAUUCAUUCAAGAAAAUGCACUAAACCUAAAUAACAAUAAGAGUAUGUAGCAUUUGACCUGUGACUUGCUUCAUUAUUCAGCUUGGUGUUGUGGAAGCUCUACCUCAGCAUAUGCAACUAAUACAGGAGCUCCCUAUUCUCCAGCUCCCUGUUCAGGGCUACAGUAUCUUCCUAUGGGGAGCAGGCUAGCAGAAAUUCUUAUCACUUUUAACUUCAUGUUGGAAAAGCAGGUGUGGCUGAGUGGACUGAGGGUCUACUCUCCAUUCAGCCCCCAUUUGUAGGGAAGAAGCUCUAACACAGGCAUACUAGAUGUAAAAUACCGAGGCCUUGAUUGCCUACCCCUCCUCAGGCUCAGCUCACUCACAGGGUCGAAGUUCCAUAUUGAGAAGAUCAAGCCAAGAAGACAAGGGGAAGCCACCAUCUGCCCCUAUGAUCACUUGUAGAGAUUUGAUUUAAAUAAACAAACACAAAACCAAGAUCAAAUUAUAUGCUGUCUACAGGAGAUACCGUCUAGAUUCAAAGAUUAAAAGAUAGGUUGAAGGUAAAAGGAUGGAGAAAGGAUACUCCAUGCAAAUAGCAGUCAUAAAAGAGCUGGAGUGGCUAUGGCAAUAUUGGACAAAAUGGACUUUAAAAGAAAAAAUUUUGCUAGAUGUAAAAGCAUCACUAAAUAAUAAAAAAAGGGCCAGUCUACCAGAAGGAUAUAAACAUUUUAUAUAUAUGUAUAUGUAAUUUACAUAUUAUACCUAUAACUUACAUAUAAAAUGUUCAUAUAUACCUAAUAACAGAGCUCCAAAAUAUAUGUUGCAAACUGAUAGGAUUGAAGGAAAAAAUAGAAAAUUCAACAAAAAUAGAAACUUAAAUAUUCUACUUUCAAUAAUAGAACAACUAGACAGAAAAAAAACUAUUACUCAGUAAUAAAAAACAACUAUUAGUAAUAAAAAACUGAAGUACUGAUAAUGCUACUAUUUAGAUGAAAUAUGAAAAUGUUAUGCUGAGUGAAAGAAGUCAGACACAAAAGUCACAUAUUUUAUGAUUUUUUUGUGUAUGAUUAUGUAAUAGGCAACCUUCAUGUGUAUGAUAUGUGUAAUAGGCAAACUUACAGAGACAGAAGGCAGAUUUGUGGUUGCUCAGGGCAGCAAAAAUUGGAAAGGUUGAGGGAAGAAAUGGGGAUUGACUGCUAAUAGAUUUUCUUUGAGGGUGAAACAAUGUUUUAUAAUUAGAUUGUCAAAUCUACAAAACUGUGAAUAUAUUUAAAAACAUUGAAUUGUACUAUUUAAAUGUUAAAUGAAUUGUAUGGUAGGUGAAUAUUACACUAGGUGAAUUGAAUGGUAGGUGAGUUACAUUUCAAUAAUGCUGUUUUUGAAAAAGGAUACAGUUUCAUCUCUUCUCGGCCUUUUGGCUAAGAUCAAGUGUAGGAUACAGUUUAUUGGAAGACACAGACACAAAAGAGAUUAAGUAAGGUUUCUAGAGUUAUUUAAAUAGCAAGUGGCAGAGUUGACUUAAAAUUCAGCUAGACUGAAUUUAGAGCCCAGUAGUACGACCACGCCAAAAAUACUUUAGCCACAGUCAUAGAAAUAAGAUGCAAUUCAGAUAGAUUGUGAGAUUCAGAACCAUCAUCACUGAGACAGGCAGCAGGAAAGAGGACUACAGAUUGCACCAAGGGUUGGCGGGUAGCAAUGUUGAGAGGAAGAAGAGGCAGGAGAGCUCUAAUAGCUUCAUUUUCUAUGAGGAAAUUCUUGAACUAAAGAGUGAGCUAGUGAAAGCUCUUUAACAUUAGCAUACUCUGACCCUACAAAUACACAGGACAGCAGUAACCUUUAGUUUGGAAGAUUACUAUGCUACUGUAUCUAGCAUCCCUUUUUAGUG